UACGGAGGAUGCAAGCGUUAUCCGGAAUGAUUGGGCGUAAAGCGUCCGCAGGUGGCAAUGUAAGUCUGCUGUCAAAGCGUCUGGCUCAACCAGAUAAAGGCAGUGGAAACUACAUAGCUAGAGUAAGGUAGGGGUAGAGGGAAUUCCUGGUGUAGCGGUGAAAUGCGUAGAGAUCAGGAAGAACACCGGUGGCGAAAGCGGUCUGCUGGACCAUAACUGACGCUGAGGGACGAAAGCUAGGGGAGCGAAUGGG
rnacentral:rRNA from 1 species